rnacentral:rRNA from 1 species
UACAGAGGUGCCCAAGCGUUGUUCGGAUUCACUGGGCGUAAAGGGUGCGCAGGUGGCAUGGUAAGUUCGAUGUGAAAGCCCCGGGCUUAACCCGGGAAAGGCAUUGGAUACUACUGUGCUGGAGGAUUGGAGGGGGGACUGGAAUUCUUGGUGUAGCAGUGAAAUGCGUAGAUAUCAAGAGGAACACCAGUGGCGAAGGCGAGUCCCUGGACAAUACCUGACACUGAGGCACGAAAGCCAAGGGAGCAAACAGG